UGAGGAACAUGACCUUCGGCGGGGGUAGCCGGCCCAACGGCCGGGUAAUACCGCGUACGACCUUUCGGGGACAUCCCUGGAUGGUGAAAGCAGCAAUGCGCCGAUGGAGUGCCUCGCGGCCUAUCAGCUAGUUGGUGAGGUAACGGCUCACCAAGGCGACGACGGGUAGCUGGUCUGAGAGGAUGGCAGCCACAGUUGGGACUGAGACCACCGGCCCAGACCUCCGUACGGGAGNAGCG
rnacentral:rRNA from 1 species